GAUGAACGCUGGCGGUCUGCUUAACACAUGCAAGUCGAACGGAAUCUUUCGGGAUUUAGUGGCGGACGGGUGAGUAACGCGUGAGAAUCUGCCUUCAGGUUCGGGACAACAGUUGGAAACGGCUGCUAAUACCGGAUGUGCCGAGAGGUGAAAGCUUAAGUGCCUGGAGAUGAGCUCGCGUCUGAUUAGCUAGUAGGAGUGGUAACGGCACCCCUAGGCGACGAUCAGUAGCUGGUCUGAGAGGAUGAUCAGCCACACUGGGACUGAGACACGGCCCAGACUCCUACGGGAGGCAGCAGUGGGGAAUUUUCCGCAAUGGGCGCAAGCCUGACGGAGCAAGACCGCGUGAGGGAAGAAGGUCUGUGGAUUGUAAACCUCUUUUGAUAGGGAAGAAGACAGUGACGGUACCUAUCGAAUCAGCCUCGGCUAACUCCGUGCCAGCAGCCGCGGUAAUACGGAGGAGGCAAGCGUUAUCCGGAAUUAUUGGGCGUAAAGAGUCCGUAGGUGGGUCACCUAGUCAGUUGUUAAAUAGUGAAGCUUAACUUCAUAGAGGCGACUGAAACUGGUGGUCUAGAGUGUGGUAGGGGUAGAGGGAAUUUCCAGUGUAGCGGUGAAAUGCGUAGAUAUUGGAAAGAACACCGGUGGCGAAAGCGCUCUACUGGGCCUGCACUGACACUGAGGGACUAAAGCUAGGGGAGCGAAAGGGAUUAGAUACCCCUGUGGUCCUAGCCGUAAACGAUGGAUACUAGGCGUUGCCCG
rnacentral:rRNA from 1 species